GUUCAUUACUGUUAUUAUUAUGGCUUUAAGGUUCCUGGUGGAAUGCACACUGAAACUGUGCUGCUCUCACGGAGAGGCGGCCCCAACACGGCUGGUUCAUUACUGUUAUUAUUAUGGCUUACGGGUCCUGGUGGAAUGGACACUGAAACUGUGCUGCUCUCACGGAGAGGCGGCCCCACCACGGCUGGUUCAUUACUGUUAUUAUUAUGGCUUUAAGGUUCCUGGUGGAAUGGACACUGAAACUGUGCUGCUCUCACGGAGAGGCGGCCCCAUCACGGCUGGUUCAU